rnacentral:rRNA from 1 species
ACGCACGCUGGCGGCGUGCUUAACACAUGCCAGUCGAACGGAAAGGCCCUGCUUUUGUGGGGUGCUCGAGUGGCGAACGGGUGAGUAACACGUGAGUAACCUGCCCUUGACUUUGGGAUAACUUCAGGAAACUGGGGCUAAUACCGGAUAGGAGCUCCUGCUGCAUGGUGGGGGUUGGAAAGUUUCGGCGGUUGGGGAUGGACUCGCGGCUUAUCAGCUUGUUGGUGGGGUAGUGGCUUACCAAGGCUUUGACGGGUAGCCGGCCUGAGAGGGUGACCGGCCACAUUGGGACUGAGAUACGGCCCAGACUCCUACGGGAGGCAGCAGUGGGGAAUAUUGCACAAUGGGCGGAAGCCUGAUGCAGCAACGCCGCGUGCGGGAUGACGGCCUUCGGGUUGUAAACCGCUUUCGCCUGUGACGAAGCGUGGGUGACGGUAAUGGGUAAAGAAGCACCGGCUAACUACGUG